CUCAGACGGUCGCANAGAUGUGANCCUCUCUUCGGAGCCUGGAGCACAGGUGCUGCAUGGCUGUCGUCAGCUCGUGUCGUGAGAUGUUGGGUUAAGUCCCGCAACGAGCGCAACCCCCGUCCUUAGUUGCUACCAUUUAGUUGAGCACUCUAAGGAGACUGCCGGUGAUAAGCCGCGAGGAAGGUGGGGAUGACGUCAAGUCCUCAUGGCCCUUACGGGCUGGGCUACACACGUGCUACAAUGGCGGUGACAAUGGGAUGCUAAGGGGCGACCCUUCGCAAAUCUCAAAAAGCCGUCUCAGUUCGGAUUGGGCUCUGCAACUCGAGCCCAUGAAGUUGGAAUCGCUAGUAAUCGUGGAUCAGCACGCCACGGUGAAUACGUUCCCGGGUUGGACCCCACCGA
rnacentral:rRNA from 1 species